ensembl:misc_RNA Metazoa_SRP Metazoan signal recognition particle RNA
GCCAGGCGUGGUGGCGUGUGCCUGUAAUCCCAGCUACUCAGGAGGCUGAGGCAUGAGAAUUGCUUGAACCCAGGAGGUGGAGGCUGCAGUGAGCCAAGAUUACAUCACUGCACUCCAACCUGGGUGACAGAGCAAGACUCAGCCUCAA